GACGAACGCUGGCGGCGUGCCUAAUACAUGCAAGUCGAACGCUUCUUUCCUCCCGAGUGCUUGCACUCAAUUGGAAAGAGGAGUGGCGGACGGGUGAGUAACACGUGGGUAACCUACCCAUCAGAGGGGGAUAACACUUGGAAACAGGUGCUAAUACCGCAUAACAGUUUAUGCCGCAUGGCAUAAGAGUGAAAGGCGCUUUCGGGUGUCGCUGAUGGAUGGACCCGCGGUGCAUUAGCUAGUUGGUGAGGUAACGGCUCACCAAGGCCACGAUGCAAAGCCGACCUGAGAGGGUGAUCGGCCACACUGGGACUGAGACACGGCCCAGACUCCUACGGGAGGCAGCAGUAGGGAAUCUUCGGCAAUGGACGAAAGUCUGACCGAGCAACGCCGCGUGAGUGAAGAAGGUUUUCGGAUCGUAAAACUCUGUUGUUAGAGAAGAACAAGGACGUUAGUAACUGAACGUCCCCUGACGGUAUCUAACCAGAAAGCCACGGCUAACUACGUG
rnacentral:rRNA from 1 species